rnacentral:tRNA from 1 species
GCACCUUUAGCUCAGCUGGUAGAGCAAAUGACUCUUAAUCAUUGGGUCUAGGGUUCGAGUCCCUAAAGGUGUACCA